rnacentral:rRNA from 1 species
UACGUAGGGCGCAAGCGUUGUCCGGAAUUAUUGGGCGUAAAGAGCUCGUAGGCGGUCUGUUACGUCCGCUGUGAAAACCCAGGGCUUAACCCUGGGCUUGCAGUGGAUACGGGUAGACUAGAGGCAGGUAGGGGAGAAUGGAAUUCCCGGUGUAGCGGUGAAAUGCGCAGAUAUCGGGAGGAACACCGGUGGCGAAGGCGGAUCUCUGGGCCUGUUCUGACGCUGAGGCGCGAAAGCUAGGGGAGCAAACAGG